rnacentral:rRNA from 1 species
CCUACGGGCGGCAGCAGUGGGGAAUAUUGCACAAUGGGGGAAACCCUGAUGCAGCGACGCCGCGUGAGUGAGGAAGUAUUUCGGUAUGUAAAGCUCUUUCAGCAGGGACGAAAAUGACGGUACCUGACUAAGAAUCCCCGGCUAACUACGUGCCAGCAGCCGCGGUAAUACGAAGGGGGCAAGCGUUAUCCGGAUUUAAUGGGUGUAAAGGGAGCGUAGACGGGAGUGUAAGUCUGAUGUGAAACUCCGGGGCCCAACCCCGGAACUGCAUUGGAAACUGUAUUUCUAGAGUGUUGGAGAGGCAGGUGGAAUUCGUGGUGGAGCGGUGAAAUGCGUAGAUAUCAGGAGGAACACCAGUGGCGAAGGCGGCUUGCUGGACGAUGACUGACGUUGAGGCUCGAAAGCGUGGGGAGCAAACAGGAUUAGAUACCCCAGUAGUC